UACGUAGGGGGCUAGCGUUGCUCGGAAUCACUGGGCGUAAAGCGCACGUAGGCGGAUUCUUAAGUCGGAGGUGAAAUCCUGGAGCUCAACUCCAGAACUGCCUUCGAUACUGAGAGUCUCGAGUCCGGGAGAGGUGAGUGGAACUCCGAGUGUAGAGGUGAAAUUCGUAGAUAUUCGGAAGAACACCAGUGGCGAAGGCGGCUCACUGGCCCGGUACUGACGCUGAGGUGCGAAAGCGUGGGGAGCAAACAGG
rnacentral:rRNA from 1 species